UCUUUAUGGACGGCACAACUUCCGACCAUGCUGUCAACAGAGGAAUCUUUGCGCACAUGCGUCACUAGUUUGUUGGAGUGGAACGUUUGAAGACACGGAGGAAAAAGUUUCAAAGAAGUAAAUUUGACCUCAUUCGGCGGUUAAGAGUCCUGAUGAUUAAGAGGAUCACCUACAGGCCAGAUUUGUAAAGCAGUUUUAUUUUUGGAGGCCAAGAGCAACCCAACUCUGCAGAUUUGUUUGAACAACCGGAAACAUCAGGAGAUCUUUCAAAAUCAUGGCAGCCUUCACCAGUUCAUUGACUCAGAUAUCCUGAGAGUUUGUAAUGUUGUCCUCUUUAUUUGUAUUCUUUUUUGUCCAGUUAAUACUUAGAAUUUAAAUGAAUUCAAACAAUGUACAUCUGUGAUAAUUAUGUCUUCCCCAGGCAAUUUACCAUCCAGUCCAAAAACUAUUUUGACCCCCCCUCUGCAUUCCUCUACACCGGCAGAGCUCCUAACACCCCAGUAGUAUCCUGGAGGGCCUGUGAUAGACGGAGCAGUCCUGUGAUGACCCCAAAGGACCCCACAGGAGACUCCUAGACCUCAGACUGGAAAAACAGACUCCAGCUCCAUGUGGUGGUGGUGGGGGGGGGGGCUACAGGAAACACAGAACUUCCUCCUUCUGAAUUUUUUUCUAAAAGCCCCACAAAGUUCUUUAAAAACAAGUGUUUUUUUAAAACAAAUGUUUUAAAUCUUUUUUUUAUUUUCUUUUCACAUUGCGAGGCAAAUUUCAUAAAACCAGUUGGUUGUUAAAAGUAUUUAUAUUUAUAGUUUGUUUUACAUUUUUUCCACUGUUAUAAUGUCUAAUAUUUUGUUCAGUUUAUUUUGAAUUGUUUUAAUUUUUCCAAGUUCAAGGUUUAAAUUUAUCUUCUAUUUGUGUAACAUUAAAGAAAAAUGAUGCCAA